AGUGAACGCUGGCGGUAGGCCUAACACAUGCAAGUCGAGCGGCAGCACAGUAAGAGCUUGCUCUUACGGGUGGCGAGUGGCGGACGGGUGAGGAAUACAUCGGAAUCUACUUUUUCGUGGGGGAUAACGUAGGGAAACUUACGCUAAUACCGCAUACGACCUACGGGUGAAAGCAGGGGAUCUUCGGACCUUGCGCGAUUGAAUGAGCCGAUGUCGGAUUAGCUAGUUGGCGGGGUAAAGGCCCACCAAGGCGACGAUCCGUAGCUGGUCUGAGAGGAUGAUCAGCCACACUGGAACUGAGACACGGUCCAGACUCCUACGGGAGGCAGCAGUGGGGAAUAUUGGACAAUGGGCGCAAGCCUGAUCCAGCCAUACCGCGUGGGUGAAGAAGGCCUUCGGGUUGUAGCCCUUUUGUUGGGAAAGAAAAGCAGCAGGUUAAUACCCCGCUGUUCUGACGGUACCCAAAGAAUAAGCACCGGCUAACUUCGUG
rnacentral:rRNA from 1 species